UACGUAGGGACCAAGCGUUGUUCGGAUUUACUGGGCGUAAAGGGCGCGUAGGCGGCGUGACAAGUCACUUGUGAAAUCUCCGGGCUUAACUCGGAACGGCCAAGUGAAACUGUCAUGCUAGAGUGCAGAAGGGGCAAUCGGAAUUCUUGGUGUAGCGGUGAAAUGCGUAGAUAUCAGGAAGAACACCCGUGGCGAAGGCGGCUCUCUGGAACGCAACUGACGCUGAGACGCGAAAGCGUGGGGAGCAAACAGG
rnacentral:rRNA from 1 species